ensembl:lncRNA
UCUGCUUUUGAGGCAUCAAGCGCUUUCUGCUGAAAAUACUGCUUAUAUAGAGGGUUUUAAUAAUAUAGACGUUGAUACUUUCAGCUGAGUUUUGUUGUAAAGAUAGGACAACAUGUCACCAUCUCGGGAACUCACCACUGCUGCAGAUGUUAAAACCCCUGUAACAUCUCACAGCCACACUGUAGAAUAAACACGAGUAUUCCCUUCCACCAGAUAUCUUCAUAGCAUAGUGAAAGAGUCCCCGUUUACUCCGACUGCCCAUAUUUGGGCCGCAGGGGCCAGUCAGCGCUUGCUCACGGCCCCGAGUAACGGAAGUGAGUCACGCUGACGGUAAUUGCGUUUGUGUUGCAGCAGCAUGGAGCGCUGAGCUGAGAACGAGGAAGCAACAUGUGCUGACCAUAAUACGUCCCACACACCCGCGAGGACGAGCCACGAGACAAGAGGCGAGGACAAGCGACGAGUACCCUCGAGCCGCACACGUAUAGUCAGCGACUGCAGAGCAUCUUUCGCUGGUGUAGAAUAUUGGUUUGAACAUAGUCUGUGGCUGAGAGAGUUACAGCAAAUGCAGAGUUAUAUAAAUCCGGUAAGCUGCAACCGCAACGUCCUGAAGAGUGUGUGUUAUAGGACGCUGUUUACCAGGCAGACUAAUGUUUGACUGCAACGUCGUUGCCAUUGAGGAUGACAGCAAAACAUAUUUGUUAGGGUCUUAAAGUUACUGCUACUUUUGCUCGUUGUGUCACAGGCUCGUCAUUACGGGGCGGCCGUGGCUGCUUUUACCGCGACAAAUAAUAAUUUUGACGUAUUACACGGGCUGAAGCAACAGUGGUGGGUUUCAAGCCACAAUAACAAAUCACUGUCUGCACCUCAAAGUUCAAGGCACGGCUUUCCCGUCAGGGACAUCGGCAGGAUGUCAACACGCUGAUCCACUUCUGCCGUGGAGUGUGCCACCAGUGCCUUUUGUAGGACACAAUCUUCUUUCUGGUCAGCCUGACAUUGGCAACCAACCCAAACAGACACGCUAUCGGAGGAUCAACAGCAAAGGGAGCUCAUUGGAUUUGCAUCAACCAAAAUGACACGGCAGCGCUAGUUUGCAUCUUGUUUUUGCAUGUAUACAAAGUCUAGCCUUUUUCAACGCA